rnacentral:tRNA from 1 species
AUUUAUAUAGUUUAAAAAAAACUUUAUUUUUUCAUAAUAAAAAUAAUAUAAAAUUAUUUAUAAAUU